CCUACGGGAGGCAGCAGUAGGGAAUCUUCCACAAUGGACGAAAGUCUGAUGGAGCAACGCCGCGUGAGUGAAGAAGGUUCUCGGAUCGUAAAACUCUGUUGUGAGGGAAGAACAAGUACCGGAGUAACUGCCGGUACCUUGACGGUACCUCAUUAGAAAGCCACGGCUAACUACGUGCCAGCAGCCGCGGUAAUACGUAGGUGGCAAGCGUUGUCCGGAAUCAUUGGGCGUAAAGCGCGCGCAGGCGGUCCCUUAAGUCUGAUGUGAAAGCCCACGGCUCAACCGUGGAGGGUCAUUGGAAACUGGGGGACUUGAGUGCAGAAGAGGAAAGCGGAAUUCCAAGUGUAGCGGUGAAAUACGUAGAGAUUUGGAGGAACACCAGUGGCGAAGGCGGCUUUCUGGUCUGUAACUGACGCUGAGGCGCGAAAGCGUGGGGAGCAAACAGGAUUAGAUACCCUGGUAGUCCACGCCGUAAACGAUGAGUGCUAAGUGUUAGGGGGUUUCCGCCCCUUAGUGCUGCAGCUAACGCAUUAAGCACUCCGCCUGGGGAGUACGGUCGCAAGACUGAAACUCAAAGGAAUUGACGG
rnacentral:rRNA from 1 species